GGGAAUUCGAUUAGAGUUUGAUCCUGGCUCACCUUGAACGCUGGCGGCAUGCCUUACACAUGCAAGUCGAACGGCAGCACGGGUGCUUGCACCUGGUGGCGAGUGGCGAACGGGUGAGUAAUACAUCGGANNNNNNNCNNUAGUGGGGGAUAGCCCGGCGAAAGCCGGAUUAAUACCGCAUACGAUCUUUGGAUGAAAGCGGGGGAUCUUCGGACCUCGCGCUAUUGGGGUGGCCGAUGGCGGAUUAGCUAGUUGGUGGGGUAAAGGCCCACCAAGGCGACGAUCCGUAGCUGGUCUGAGAGGACGACCAGCCACACUGGGACUGAGACACGGCCCAGACUCCUACGGGAGGCAGCAGUGGGGAAUUUUGGACAAUGGGCGAAAGCCUGAUCCAGCAAUGCCGCGUGUGUGAAGAAGGCCUUCGGGUUGUAAAGCACUUUUGUCCGGAAAGAAAUCCUGGUGGCUAAUAUCCGCCGGGGAUGACGGUACCGGAAGAAUAAGCACCGGCUAACUACGUGCCAGCAGCCGCGGUAAUACGUAGGGUGCGAGCGUUAAUCGGAAUUACUGGGCGUAAAGCGUGCGCAGGCGGUGAUGUAAGACCGAUGUGAAAUCCCCGGGCUUAACCUGGGAACUGCAUUGGUGACUGCAUCGCUGGAGUAUGGCAGAGGGGGGUAGAAUUCCACGUGUAGCAGUGAAAUGCGUAGAGAUGUGGAGGAAUACCGAUGGCGAAGGCAGCCCCCUGGGCCAAUACUGACGCUCAUGCA
rnacentral:rRNA from 1 species